UACGUAGGCAGCAAGCGUUGUUCGGAAUUACUGGGCGUAAAGAGUUUGUAGGCGGUGUUCUAAGUUUGUCGUGAAAUCUCCCGGCUUAACUGGGAGGGUGCGGCGAAAACUGGAAUGCUAGAGGAUGGGAGAGGUAAGCGGAAUUCCUGGUGUAGCGGUGAAAUGCGUAGAUAUCAGGAGGAACACCUGUGGUGUAGACAGCUUACUGGACCAUUUCUGACGCUGAGACACGAAAGCGUGGGGAGCAAACAGG
rnacentral:rRNA from 1 species